AGAGUUUGAUCCUGGCUCAGAACGAACGCUGGCGGCAGGCCUAACACAUGCAAGUCGAGCGGACCUUCGGGGUUAGCGGCGGACGGGUGAGUAACGCUGGGAAUAUGCCCUUCUCUACGGAAUAGUCCUGGGAAACUGGGGGUAAUACCGUAUACGCCCUUUGGGGGAAAGAUUUAUCGGGGAAGGAUUAGCCCGCGUUGGAUUAGGUAGUUGUGGGGUAAUGGCCUACCAAGCCGACGAUCCAUAGCUGGUUUGAGAGGAUGAUCAGCCACACUGGGACUGAGACACGGCCCAGACUCCUACGGGAGGCAGCAGUGGGGAAUCUUAGACAAUGGGGGCAACCCUGAUCUAGCCAUGCCGCGUGAGUGAUGAAGGCCUUAGGGUUGUAAAGCCCUUUCAGCUGGGAAGAUAAUGACGGUACCAGCAGAAGAAGCCCCGGCUAACUCCGUG
rnacentral:rRNA from 1 species